CUGUCACAGAUGUUCAGUUGCCAGAUCUCCCUGCCAGACAGUUGAGAACCAAAGGUGGAGAAGCCCUGGCCUGUGUGGGCCAGUGGUCUUGCCCCCCACCAAGGGGAGGGCUGUGCUGGGUCCCUGCUUUAGCGCUAUGUGGGUGAGAGGUCCUCCCCUGAGCCCCAGCUCCAUCCAGAGCAGUAGCUUGCUGCCCUGGCAUUUAACUCUAGGAAGCCUCACAGCUUGUCUGGGCCCCAGCGUCUCUGGGCUUGGCACUGGGCCAAAGCUAGAAGGUAACCAGGGGAGUAGUGAGGGGGGCACUGGCCAGAGUGGACAUGAACUACAGUGGGAAGUCUCCAGGGAAUGGCUGGGUGCAUGCAUCCUGCUUUAACCUCAGAUAUGACUCAAUUCCCUCCAGGAGCUCUGGAGCCUGUGGACAGUGCUGUGACAAUGCAGCACUGGAGAGUCCAGGCUCCCCAGAACCCCAAACUCCCCACCCCACUGGGCUGGCCUCUUACCAUGUCCACAGCCACUUUCAUGGCCUCCUGUAGCCCAAAGAGCUUCCCGGCCACCAGGUAGACCCCCGCCGGUCCACACUGCACAGGCCUCGUGUACCCAGUGCUCCUGGGUGUCCCCAACAGGCUCUGAGGGGGCCUCCUUGCUGCACUCAUGCUUGCGGCUCUUGUCGACUGGUGCCAUCUCAGUCACCCCGUCACCCCGGCCAUCACAACAGUAGCAACUCUGCAGCCGCCGGGACAGGCCACGGGCACUGGUGCGCAGUGAGCCCUGCUUGGCUGGGUCAGCUGGGGCAUCAAGUCUGGGGGGGUUUUCCGGAACCAGUGGCGGCAGCAGCAGGGGUGGCAGCCACACACUCAAGGCCCUUGAGUGUUCUCUCGAGGAGCAACGGGGCCUCCUCACAGGUGCCUUCUGGACGCACCUUCUCCUUGAGUUUUGGCUUCUUUUUGGGGAGGCAGUGUUCAGGGUAGUAGGGUCCACAGGGUCUCCGAGGUCCUUGAAGUUGGCUGGGUUUUGGCAGAGGCAGCAGGCGAGGCAAGAGGUACUCAGGGCCUUGGAAACCACAGGCCCCAGGUGCAUCAUAGAGGAGAGAGGCAGGGAGGGCCGUGACUGCAGGAUGGAACCUCCAGGGAGUGUGGUCAGGGAAGCCCCAGCCACAUCCAAGAAGAAGGAGGAUGAAGAUGAGGAAGAGGAGGUGGAGGAUGAAGGCUUCCUGUGGGGCUUGGGCUCAUCCCCCCGGGAGUUAACAACAGUGCAUACAGUGGUGAAUGCAUCUCGCUUCUCCACCCGCACAAAGGGCGAGAAGGCAGGGGUCCGGCUGUCUGCCCUCAGUCGCUUGCAAGAGGAAAUGUACUUGAGGCGGAUUUCAGGCUCUGCAGGAUCCAGGGGGAGCACCUGCUGCUGCCGCCUCCGCUGGCACGCCCCUUACAGGGUGAAGUAUUGGUGUUUUUGGCCCGGCCCAGGUGAGGCGCUUCCGCUUGGAAUAGCUGCUGUAGUUGGCAUGGCCUGGCUGCUUCUGUGCCCUUGUCUGGGGCUGGCAGGACCGGCCCUCAGAGGGCUGGGAAGCCAGGCCCAGCUCCUCUGUCUUUGGCUUCUUGCCUCCACCAGAGUUGUCCUCGCCAGCCCCUGUGUGCUGCUGGCCCUGUCUCUGGGACUGAGGAGCAGAGUUGGACCAAGGUAGGGCCGCUUCUCCAGGGGGCCUUUGGGGGAGUCCGAGGCCUCCAGCCCUGCCUUUCCGGCUCCUCUUCUUAGGCGCCAGGGCAGUUGCCCCAGGCUGUAGGGCCUCCGGGGAGGUGAAGGCCUCAGUUUUGAAACAGUCAGCAGAGGACAGUUUCUUACUGUUCACAGGAUUUGCCUUUUAAGGACCUGCUGGCUGGAUUUCUGCAUAAUGGGUCAGCUCCCAAAGCUGCUGGGAGCUUCUGCCCAGUACCCAUGCUUAUCAGACCUUCUUCUGCCCUUGCUGGGCUGCCCCCAGCACUCUUGAGGCCACCUCGAUCCUUCUCAGGGAGGGCUGGGCUCAGAGGUGUCCCUGGAGGGGCCCCUGGCACUUUGCAUGUGAACUUCUUGAGGCCAGGUGAGGUGAUCUUCUGCACGAUGGCCUCCAGCUUGAGGCCCGACCCUUCGGGGUGGGAGCACCUUGGUCUUCAUGGCCCCCUGGAAGGGCUGCCCGUGAGGUGAGCUUGAUGCAGGUAUCGGGGGCUCUCGGGGGGUGAGGGUUUCAUGGUGGGCUCGCUGUUGCCCUUGGGCUUGGUCUUUUUGGGAGAAGACACCCUCCUGAAGAGGGCAGAGGAGCCCUCGGCCCCCUCCUCCUUCCCAUCUCCCCCAUUGCUACUGGUGGUGGUAGUGCUGCUGCUACUCCGUAAAACCAGGUUCCGCUUCUUGGUGGGGACUGGUGCCAUGAAGGCAGACUUCCUUUUUGAGUGUGUGGAGAGGCUGAUCAGAAAGCUUGCCCCCAGUGCAGGGCUUGGGGACCCUUGCUCGCUGGCUCACCCCUGCCCUCCUUCUGGGGGCUACUGGAGACCUUGAACGUGGUGGGCAGGUGGCUGUUGGCAAGGAGCUUCUUGGUGGUGCGGCAGUUUGGGAGCCGACUCUCUGCAGGCCGCCGCCGCGCUGGAGUAGAAAACCUCCAGGGGCUUCGUGCGGGACCGGAGGAUCAUGGAGCGCUGGUCCUUGCUAGGAGUACUGGGCGAGUCUGUCUCCUUGGUUUUGGAGCCCAUAGGGCUGCUGUCUGAGGGCCACCGGCAGGGCAGCUGGGUUGCUGGGGCUGGAUGCGGCCUUGGGUGAAGGUUUCCCUACCCUCUUGCCUGACUUGAAGGCAGCUCGCUGCUUGCCCCCCAGUUUGUCAGGGUGUGCAGGCGUAGUGGUCAGGCCUGGGGGUCCAGGUGUACGGGGUUCACUCAGGGCUGUGAGGGAGCGUGUACACAUCCUGGGGAUCCCUUCUGAGGUGCCCCGGCCUGGGGCCCCAGCUCCUUCCAGCUGUCCUUGGGGAGGCCCUGUGCAGGAUUCAGGGAGCAAAAGGUCUUUGGGCAGCACUGGUGCCCUGCAUGGGGAGUCCUCAGCCUCAGGCAGUCCCGGUGCACCCGACCGGCUCCGUAAACUUUUGCCCCGGGGCACAGGCUCUUUCUUAGCAAUGGGUGCCUCAGGCACUGCUGGCUUGUUUGGCUUCUGGGCCACGGAAGCUUCUGAGGUGGUGGAAUCGCCUGGAGCCCGCUCUCCCUCAGAACCCUCUUCCCCUGGCUUCAUGUGGGACAGGGAAGACUCAAACCAGCUCUGGACCUUCGACUCAGCACCCACAGUGGGGCCUAGCAAGAUGACAGACUCCCCAGAGAGGUGGCAUGGGGAACCCCAGCUGGCCUUGGAGUCCAAUACUUCUUCUACUUCCUCCUUGGUGCAGAUGAGGGGGGCCUUCGGCGACAGUGGGUCCUGCAUGCUGGGCCUCUGCUCUGGGCUGCCCAGUAGCUCACACAGGGAGGAGUACUCCUCCUCAGCCUCCAGGUCCUCCCUUUCUGCCUGGGGGCGGCAGCAGUGGCAGGUCCCCAAAAUCUGCAGCAGAGCAGCAGUGCCGGCUGUCCUCCAGCCACCGGUCAGCCUUACUCACAUCAUUGGGGCACUGUAACAUCCCACCCACCUCCUCCUUCACCCCACCCGCCUCCUCCUGCUUGAAGUCCCUGGGCAGUGCAACUGCCUUUUCCCGAGGGGGUCCUCUUCCUGGAAGCCCAGGCAGGCCCGAAGCCUCGUGGCUGUCCCCUUUGCCCACACCAUCUGAGGCCCUUCCACCCUGCUCCAGGCCUUUGGCAAGCUCACCAGGGUGCAGUCCCCACCGAGGACAAGCAUCGCCCAGGUUCUCCUCUGGCCAUGCAAAGGGGUUGGCACUGUCUGCUGAGCUGGCAGUAGUUGUAUCUGGAAAGCAGUCAAAAGCUGUUGUUGUGGGGUCUGGAGUGGGAGCCCCAAGGGUGGGCUUGGUCAGUAAGUGGAAAAAGUGGAAUUCAGACUUAAUGGAAGGCUAGG
ensembl:lncRNA